GUCGAACCGUCUCAGCAAGGGUCCGCACCUGGAAAGGAAUUUCUCAUCAGAUCAGUGUGUCAUUGAAAUAAGUGAUUCAUGUGAAGAAUAUGAUGCACAAACACUCCAGUUUUACUCACAUAUGCAUUGGAUACUGCUUUAGACAUUUUUUUUUUCAAAACAGAAAGUACAGGCACCAAUUUUUAGUUAGUCAACAUUAGCCAAAUUUAAUAAUUUAAGAUUCAGAAUCUAAAAUUUAAUAUAAACAAAAUAGUUUUAAAAAGGUAGGCUUAUGUUAGCUAAAAAAAAGGUGGUUACCUAGCAUUUCUUUUUAAAAAUGUUAUGUGGGCACAAAAAAUUAGCCACCAUGUAUUUGUGUAUAAAUACAUAUAUUGUUUCGAUGUGUAUUUUGUAUUUCAACAUAUAUUUUAACUAAAAUAUAAGAUUCAUUCUAUUCAUUAUUCAAUCAAUAACUUGG